rnacentral:rRNA from 2 species
GACCGAUAGUGAACCAGUACCGUGAGGGAAAGGCGAAAAGAACCCCGGCGAGGGGAGUGAAAAAGAACCUGAAACCGUGUACGUACAAGCAGUGGGAGCCUCUUUAUGGGGUGACUGCGUACCUUUUGUAUAAUGGGUCAGCGACUUAUAUUCUGUAGCAAGGUUAACCGAAUAGGGGAGCCGAAGGGAAACCGAGUCUUAACUGGGCGUUAAGUUGCAGGGUAUAGACCCGAAACCCGGUGAUCUAGCCAUGGGCAGGUUGAAGGUUGGGUAACACUAACUGGAGGACCGAACCGACUAAUGUUGAAAAAUUAGCGGAUGACUUGUGGCUGGGGGUGAAAGGCCAAUCAAACCGGGAGAUAGCUGGUUCUCCCCGAAAGCUAUUUAGGUAGCGCCUCGUGAAUUCAUCUCCGGGGGUAGAGCACUGUUUCGGCAAGGGGGUCAUCCCGACUUACCAACCCGAUGCAAACUGCGAAUACCGGAGAAUGUUAUCACGGGAGACACACGGCGGGUGCUAACGUCCGUCGUGAAGAGGGAAACAACCCAGACCGCCAGCUAAGGUCCCAAAGUCAUGGUUAAGUGGGAAACGAUGUGGGAAGGCCCAGACAGCCAGGAUGUUGGCUUAGAAGCAGCCAUCAUUUAAAGAAAGCGUAAUAGCUCACUGGUCGAGUCGGCCUGCGCGGAAGAUGUAACGGGGCUAAACCAUGCACCGAAGCUGCGGCAGCGACACUAUGUGUUGUUGGGUAGGGGAGCGUUCUGUAAGCCUGUGAAGGUGGCCUGUGAGGGUUGCUGGAGGUAUCAGAAGUGCGAAUGCUGACAUAAGUAACGAUAAAGCGGGUGAAAAGCCCGCUCGCCGGAAGACCAAGGGUUCCUGUCCAACGUUAAUCGGGGCAGGGUGAGUCGACCCCUAAGGCGAGGCCGAAAGGCGUAGUCGAUGGGAAACAGGUUAAUAUUCCUGUACUUGGUGUUACUGCGAAGGGGGGACGGAGAAGGCUAUGUUGGCCGGGCGACGGUUGUCCCGGUUUAAGCGUGUAGGCUGGUUUUCCAGGCAAAUCCGGAAAACCAAGGCUGAGGCGUGAUGACGAGGCACUACGGUGCUGAAGCGACAAAUGCCCUGCUUCCAGGAAAAGCCUCUAAGCAUCAGGUAACAUCAAAUCGUACCCCAAACCGACACAGGUGGUCAGGUAGAGAAUACCAAGGCGCUUGAGAGAACUCGGGUGAAGGAACUAGGCAAAAUGGUGCCGUAACUUCGGGAGAAGGCACGCUGAUAUGUAGGUGAAGCGACUUGCUCGUGGAGCUGAAAUCAGUCGAAGAUACCAGCUGGCUGCAACUGUUUAUUAAAAACACAGCACUGUGCAAACACGAAAGUGGACGUAUACGGUGUGACGCCUGCCCGGUGCCGGAAGGUUAAUUGAUGGGGUUAGCGGUAACGCGAAGCUCUUGAUCGAAGCCCCGGUAAACGGCGGCCGUAACUAUAACGGUCCUAAGGUAGCGAAAUUCCUUGUCGGGUAAGUUCCGACCUGCACGAAUGGCGUAAUGAUGGCCAGGCUGUCUCCACCCGAGACUCAGUGAAAUUGAACUCGCUGUGAAGAUGCAGUGUACCCGCGGCAAGACGGAAAGACCCCGUGAACCUUUACUAUAGCUUGACACUGAACAUUGAGCCUUGAUGUGUAGGAUAGGUGGGAGGCUUUGAAGUGUGGACGCCAGUCUGCAUGGAGCCGACCUUGAAAUACCACCCUUUAAUGUUUGAUGUUCUAACGUUGGCCCGUAAUCCGGGUUGCGGACAGUGUCUGGUGGGUAGUUUGACUGGGGCGGUCUCCUCCUAAAGAGUAACGGAGGAGCACGAAGGUUGGCUAAUCCUGGUCGGACAUCAGGAGGUUAGUGCAAUGGCAUAAGCCAGCUUGACUGCGAGCGUGACGGCGCGAGCAGGUGCGAAAGCAGGUCAUAGUGAUCCGGUGGUUCUGAAUGGAAGGGCCAUCGCUCAACGGAUAAAAGGUACUCCGGGGAUAACAGGCUGAUACCGCCCAAGAGUUCAUAUCGACGGCGGUGUUUGGCACCUCGAUGUCGGCUCAUCACAUCCUGGGGCUGAAGUAGGUCCCAAGGGUAUGGCUGUUCGCCAUUUAAAGUGGUACGCGAGCUGGGUUUAGAACGUCGUGAGACAGUUCGGUCCCUAUCUGCCGUGGGCGCUGGAGAACUGAGGGGGGCUGCUCCUAGUACGAGAGGACCGGAGUGGACGCAUCACUGGUGUUCGGGUUGUCAUGCCAAUGGCACUGCCCGGUAGCUAAAUGCGGAAGAGAUAAGUGCUGAAAGCAUCUAAGCACGAAACUUGCCCCGAGAUGAGUUCUCCCUGAGACUUAGAGUCUCCUGAAGGAACGUUGAAGACGACGACGUUGAUAGGCCGGGUGUGUAAGCGCAGCGAUGCGUUGAGCUAACCGGUACUAAUGAACCGUGAGGCUUAACCUU